GGCCAAGCAUUUUAAAAACCUGCAAAAAUAUAACAGACACAGCCCUACCACCAGAUACAAACUUAAUAUCAACAAAACAUACAAUGUCCUGGGCCUUUUAGGCUUAGAAAACAUAUCAUACUAAAAGGUUAGAAGAAGUAGAAAUGUCUCUCUAUAUUCAGAACCCACAGUGAUUCAUUAUAUAAUGCUAAUUCCAAGAGCAAAAAAAAUUAAACCACAAACUUGAUAUUGUAAGGAACCCUAAACCCACCCUCAAACAAGUCAAAACUAUACUCAAAGUUCUUACAGCCUCAGCUCUCAGGAACCUCAUUCCUAAAAGGUUCCAAAAUCUCUCAACCAGGAAUACAUCUCUCACCUGUGGUUUUCCUGGAAGUAUAUACACCAUCCUAACAUAAGCCACCGGCCUGGAUGUUUUAUUAGUACCAUUUGAGCCAACAUGUAUAGAGUUUACCAUGCACUAGGUAAUGUACAAAUGGCCUUUGGAAAGGCAAUUAUGACAAGUUAAGACAUUUUGGUUGUAAGUGUCAGAAUCCCAUUAAAGAGUAUUUAAUAAGUUAUCCUUAUUUCAUCUCCAUCAUCUCUUUCAUUUCUCAAAAUAGCUUUAUAAGAUAGGCCUUAUGGCCAGGUGCAAUGGCUCAUGCCUAUAAUCCCAGCACUUUGGCAGGCUGAGGCAGGUGGAUCUCUUGAAAUCAGGAGGUCUAGAUCAGUCUGGCCAACAUGGUGAAACCCCAUCUCUACUAAAAACACAAAAUUAGCCAGUCAUGGUUGUGCACUCCUGUAAUCCCAGCUACUCGGUAGGCUGAGGCAGGAGAAUCACUUGAACCUGGGAGGUGUAGGUUGCAGUGCGCUGAGAUCGUGCCACUGCACUCCAGCCUGGGUGUCAGAGUAAAACUCCAUUUAAAAAAAAAAAAAAAGGCCUUAUUAUUUUCCCUAUUUGAAGAUGAAUUGAAACUCGCAAGGGUUAAGUAACUUGCCCAAUGUGUGAUGACUAAAGAGUUCAGGAGCGUGGAUAAGAAUUCAGGCUUGGAGUUGGUGUUCAUAAUGACUAGGGAAUUCUGGUCAUUACAUGCAGGACAAACACAGACAUGCUAGUCUUAUACUUGUCCAUUAGCUACACCAUCCACUGAAAAUAAAGUAAAAUAGGUGUAGGCUUUUCGCAGUGAAGGCUGAUGACACUAAAAUUAAUAAAACCUGGAUAGCAAGGGCAGCCUGGAGUGGGCUAAUGGGCACAGGACAAGGGUUUCACAUCCAGUCUCUGCCACUUCCUAGCUCUGACACCUUCAACUCUGAACAUCUCUUUCUUCCCUACUCUCAGGGAUAUUGUACAGUUUGAAAAAAAAUUACAAAAAAACAAUGCGUGGAAAACUAGAAAACACAAUCAAAUGGCAUCUCAGGGAAACAGUGAAGAUUCAAGAGAAGAGAAAAACAUUUCCAAUCAACUCUCCAGAUGGAAGUGCUAGCUUUUUGCCUCUUUUGAGAAGGAGUCUUGCUGUGUCGCCCAGGCUGGAGUGCAGUGGCAUGAUCUUGGCUCACUGCAACCUCCACUUCCCCAGUCCAAGUGAUCCUCCCACCUCAGCCUCCUGAGUAGCUGGGACUACAGGCACUUGCCACUACACUCGGCUAAUUUUUUGUAUUUUCAGUAGAGACGGGGUUUUGCCAUGUUGGCCAGGCUGGUCUCGAACUCCUGACCUCAAGUGAUUCUCCCACCUCAGUCUCCCAAAGUGCUGGGAUUACAGGCCUGGGACACUGUGCCCCACCACUUUUUGCCCUUGAAACAUGCCAAGAUCCUGGUUUUGUAAUCCCGCACGGUCCUAGACUUUCUACCUUCUUAGUUUCCUCUACUAUUCAUCUAGAUAUAUGCCUAAAGGAGGAUCAGUUAGCUCCACAGAGAAGAAACAGAGUAUUUAUGAAAUGUCAGCUUUUGCUCUGCACAUAGUGGGGUGGGAGGUGAGGGGCAGACACUGAUGUAAGCAUUGAUGUAAUAACAGAAGUGUGUUAUUGCCACUAAUAAUCUGCUUGCCCAACAUCUUUAUUUAUUGUAUUUGACUUCUCCGGGUAACAAUUCCCACCCUCCUUUCUGCAUUAAACUCAGAAUUGUGCCCUGCUGCCAACUCUGAUGGUACUUGAUCCCAACUGGUUCAUCAGAGUGCUUCAUCCUUGUCCAAACAGAUGAGUCCAAACGGUGGUGUGUGAACGGUGGUGUGUAAACUAAGUGAGUCAAAUAAGAGUCCUUCCUUUUUUUUUUUUUUUUAAACUGGAAUUAAGAAGGAUGAAGAAGAACAAAUAGCCUUUUUUUUUUUUUUUUUUUUUUUUUUUUCUGCUAUCAAAGCCGGGAAGAAGGGAGCCUGGAGCUUCCAACUGCCAUGUUGCUGCCUGCAUGGGGAAAUCUGGUUUGGGUUAUAGAGAAUCAAAUACCCAUGCGGGGGAGACACAGUCCAGGCAGCAUCCUGCCCCCAGCCCAGGAAUACCCCUGACUGUUACAGUUAUGGGUGGCAACAUAUCUCUUGUUGCCUAUGCAACUUUGAAAUGGGAUUCUGAAGCUUACAACCAAAAUAUCCUAACUUAUCACAAUCCCCUUUCCAAAGAAUAACCCUACAUUUCUUGGCUGGAGAAAUUGAGUGAAACAUGCUAGAAGAGACCCUAAUGCCUGGCAGAAGACAGGACUGAAUGUCCUUAACAGAUCUACCCAAUUCCACUUGCAAAAUCUCCAGUGCUGUUAAACAUAAUGGACAAUUAUGACUACAAAGAUCUAAAAACAACAAGAACAGCGAUUUUCUCUGCAGGUAGGCAGAGUGUGCGUUUAAUGAUGCAGCCAGCGGUACCAAAUAGAGCACACACGGUCUUGAGCACCUUGCAAGGCGGUAAAUGAAUCUUCUCUUCCAUUGAAUUAAGAUUCCAUGCAAGAAUUAUCAUUACUUUAAAAAAUAUAUGGAAAAUCUUAAUAUGUUAAUUUCCCCCAAUUAGUAAGAUUCCCAAACAUGUUAUUAAAUUUCUCUAAGAUGUCUAGUAUUGUGGUAAAAUGUGACAAUACUAUAAUCAAGCUUAAAAGAGCAUUGUCAAGAAUACAACGUAUUGGUUUCUAAAACCAACAUAACUGUUUUCCCUCUAGCACGUCAGUGCUGCUCAAAUGUCAUUAAGACUAUAAAAAUUUGAUUUAGUUAGUCUUCUUGUCCUCACAAGGGUUUUUCAACACACAAACACACAACCCACCAACAUUCUAAUUUUUAAUGGCAGUGGGGCGUGGUUUUAUCACGAAGACUAAGAAUUGAAAAUUUUAAAAAUAUAGAGGCAGUACACAUGACUCUGAAUGCAUGUUCUGAUGCCAGUAUAUUUACACGUAUAUUCCCAGGAAGAUAUAUUUUCACAGACUCACUCUCAAUGCCAUCAGGAAUCCACUUCUACUAAAUAGAAAAGGGUGCACUAUAGUUUGAAAAAGGCUGGAGGGAUGGCAAGGACUUAUUCUUUCACCUUUCCCUGGAGUCUGGCAUUUUCUUAAGCCAUCUGUAGGAAUCUGAGAGCUCUCAGGUCAACUUCAUUCAUUCAUUCUGUAAAGUGGACCUCAGUUCUUUUUGUU
rnacentral:lncRNA from 1 species